rnacentral:rRNA from 1 species
UAGAGUUUGAUCCUGGCUCAGAAUGAACGCUGGCGGCGUGCUUAACACAUGCGAGUCGUACGAGAACUCCUUAGCUUGCUAAGGAUAGUAAAGUGGCGCACGGGUGAGUAACGCGUGGGUAAUCUACCCUGGAAAUCGGGAUAACAUCGCGAAAGUGAUGCUAAUACCGAAUGAUAUCUAAUUUGCUUUGGCUUUUUAGAUCAAAGGUGGCCUCUAUUUAUAAGCUACUGUUUUGGGAUGAGCUCGCGUACCAUUAGCUUGUUGGUAGGGUAAUGGCCUACCAAAGCUACGAUGGUUAGCUGGUCUGAGAGGAUGAUCAGCCACACUGGAACUGACACACGGUCCAGACUCCUACGGGAGGCAGCAGUGAGGAAUUUUGCGCAAUGGGGGAAACCCUGACGCAGCAACGCCGCGUGAGUGAUGAAGGCUUUCGGGUCGUAAAGCUCUGUCAAGUGGGAAGAAAAAGAAAAGUUAUAAUAUGACUUUUCUCUGACGGUACCACUAAAGGAAGCACCGGCUAACUCCGUGCCAGCAGCCGCGGUAAUACGGGGGGUGCAAGCGUUAUUCGGAAUUAUUGGGCGUAAAGGGCGCGCAGGCGGUUACUUAAGUCAGAUGUGAAAGCCCGGGGCUUAACCUCGGAAGUGCAUUUGAAACUAAGUAACUUGAGUAUGGGAGAGGGAAGUGGAA